CAGGAUUUUUAUUACAGUUUUACUUUAGUGUCUUAUUGUAAACACAAUGCUUGUUUUAAAAUAUUUUUAUUCUGUACAGGUUUUCUUCUUUUCAUUCUCAUUUAGGUUAAUAUUGUGGAGUAACUAUGAUGUUGAUCCAUCCUCAGUUUUCUCCUAUCUCAGCCAUUCAACUGUGUAACUGAUUUAAAGUCACCAUUGGCCUCAUGGUGAAAUCCUUGAGCAGUUUCCCUCCUCUGUGACAACUGAGUUAGGAAGGACGCAUGUCUCUUUGUAGUGACUGGGUGUAUUGAUACACCAUCCAAAGCGUAAUUAAUAACUUCACCAUGCUCAAAGGGAUAUUCAGUGUCUACUUUAUUAUUAUGUUUUACCCAUCUACCAAUACGUACCCUUCUUUUGCGAGGCAUUGGAAAACCUCCCUGGUCUUUGUGGUUGAAUCUGUGUUUGAAAUUCACUAAACAACUGAGGGACCUCCAGAUAAUUGUAUGUGUGGGGUACAGAGAUGAGGUAGUCAUUCAAAAUUCAUGUUAAAACUAUUAUUGCACACAGAGACAGUCCAUGGAUCUUAUUGUGUGAACGCAUUUUUUAGCAAUUUGUAAAAAUGUAUUUUUACUUUGACAUUAUGGAGUGUAGAUCAGCGACACAAACAUCUCAAUUUAAUCCAUUUUAAAUUCAGGCUGUAACACAAUAAAAUGUGAAAAACUUCAAGGGGUGUGAAUACUUUCUGAAGGCACUGUACAUACUCACAUAUCCAACACAGCACAGCAUAUCCAUGUGAAACAACCAACAUCAACACAACACAAGAAAGCACUGUACAUACUCACAUAUAUAUAUAUAUUUUUAAAUUUCACCUUUAUUUCACCUUUAUUUAACCAGGUAGGCUAGUUGAGAACACCUUUAUUUAACCAGGUAGGCUAGUUGAGAACACCUUUAAUUUAACCAGGUAGGCUAGUUGAGAACACCUUUAUUUAACCAGGUAGGCUAGUUGAGAACACCUUUAAUUUAACCAGGUAGGCUAGUUGAGAACACCUUUAUUUAACCAGGUAGGCUAGUUGAGAACACCUUUAUUUAACCAGGUAGGCUAGUUGAGAACACCUUUAUUUAACCAGG
ensembl:lncRNA